AAAGAACGUCGCUCAAUGAAGUUGUGCAACAGUAGAAGAUUAUUACCUUGCUUUCUGGUGACUGACGGGUAGCGGGAGAAGGAACAAGUCUGUAAUUGGCCUUGGAUCUCAGUGAGAAAAGCGGACUAUAACUAAACAACAACAGCAAUAAUAAUGCAUAUCUUGGCAGCCAGAAGUCAGCCACUUGGAACUCAGCAGAAAGCGCUUGAAAAGCUCCGAUAUUUUUACGUACAUGGCUGAGUAACGUCUUGUACCUCUCGACCAGCUCUGUGGAUUCU